CUAUCUACAAAUAUAAAGCUAUUGACUGUUGUUUUAAUACUUCUUCAGUAUAAGUGUGUGCUAUUCUGAGCUCCAAAGUGGGUUACAAGAACAAAUUAUGUGAAGUGAGCCUAGGGGGAAAAUCAAACAAAGUCAAUGAGGUUUUUUUUUUUUUGCUCCUUUUUCCUGAGCUCAGCAUUUCUUGGCAGAGAUCCGCACCUUAUGGUGGGAAGUGUGGGGGGCACAAGCAUCUUGGUCAGCGGGCAUGGGCCCCUAUGGCCCCACCACCUUCAUCAAGAUCCCCUCUAAGCGUUACAGGAAUUGAGGAUAAUCCUCUUGAAAGAAACAUGAAAAGGUGCCCUAUUACUGACUGGUCACCAGUUCAUGAUGUCGUUUGCCUUUUGCCCAAAGUCAGCAGGAAGAGGCUCCAACAUGACCAUGAAUGGGAUAAGCAGCGGUUAAAAUGGAUGGGUGAUAACGUCCAGACAAGAUCCAUUCAUGUGCACGUUUGAGACAACAUAUAGGUGAAGACAACUACAGUGGAUGAUCACAACAUCAACAAAAGUCAAGGCUGAGGACAACCAUCAAAAGGCAGAAUAACAGACUAGGAUUCUACCUUUGGCCACAAUAUAGCAGAGGACUGGAGCUAGGCUCGCCUGAUUGCUUGUCACCGAGCACAAGAUGUUGCUAUGAUAAUUACGCACCAAAAUCACUCCAAAAACCUCCACUUUGUGAAAGGGAUCACACAGUAUGACAUGCCAACUUACCUUUAAGGACUUUU